ACUAACAACCGAAGAAUAACAAGAGUUUAUCUAUAGGUCAAUCACUAGAUAAUGUAUCUGUAUAAUAUACAAGCUCUGUGACUUGAUUCUCUAUAUAUAAUAAUAUAUCAUUUGCACAAUGUACGUGUAGUGCAGUGAAUUGAGCAUGCAAACACUAUGUUAUUUCUUUAUUUUAUCAUGGUAUCAAAAGUCUAUUGACCCACGUCUGAUCCUAUGGCCUCUCAAUCACCUCUAGUUUUGUCUUCUUCUUCUACCCCCCAUAAUCCUCCCAUGUUUCUUCUUCAAAAUCUACCCCCAUUAUCUCCACCGACAAUUUCUCUCACUUUCUUUUUCUUAAACUGACCAAAGACAAUUACUUACUUUGAAAGGCCUAACCAUGCCCAUAUUUACGGAGACAACAACUCUUCGGCUAUGUCGAUGAACGAGUAUCACAAGGAAGUAACUGUCUGUUUUCUAUCAAGGAUCAGCUCGCUGAUAUACUUACAAAACCACUUGGCUUAGCAUGAUUUGUUUCUUUGUGAGACAAGCUUCAUGUGGUGGAUCCAUAGUUCAGCUUGAGGGGGUGAGUAAACGAUAAACACAAGCAGGCCAAAGAUAAGAUUGAAGAUCUAGAGACAUAGAGUUUAUCUUUAGUUCAAUCACUAGAUAAUGUAUUUGUAUAAUAUACAAACUCUAUGACUUGAUUCUCUAUAUAUAAUAAUAUAUCCUCUGCACAAUGUGCAGUGUGGUGAAUUAAGCCUA